GGAGCAUUCCAUCGACGUUGAAGGCAGAGGAUAACCUCUUCUGGAGUUUAUGGAAAAGCAAAUGUAGGUAUAAGUAACGAUAAAGAGCGUGAGAUGCGCUCUCGCCGAAAGACUAAGGUUUCCCGGGCGACGUUAAUCGGCCCGGGGUCAGUCGGGUCCUAAGGAUAAGCCUAAUGGCGAUGCCGAUGGCAGAAACGGUUAAUAUUCCGUUACUGCCGCAAGGGGCGAUGUGGAGACGGAGAAGUGACACUUCCGCGUACUGACGGAUAUGUACGUUAAAGCACAAAGACGUUGAUAGAUCCAGGCAAAUCCGGAUUUAGAGUUGAAGUGCGAUAGUAUGCAAGGCCUUCGGGCUGCGCAAUAGUGAAGGUAAUCAUGC
rnacentral:rRNA from 1 species